GACGAACGCUGGCGGCGUGCUUAACACAUGCAAGUCGAACGGAAAGGCCCUGCUUUUGUGGGGUGCUCGAGUGGCGAACGGGUGAGUAACACGUGAGUAACCUGCCCUUGACUUUGGGAUAACUUCAGGAAACUGGGGCUAAUACCGGAUAGGAGCUCCUGCUGCAUGGUGGGGGUUGGAAAGUUUCGGCGGUUGGGGAUGGACUCGCGGCUUAUCAGCUUGUUGGUGGGGUAGUGGCUUACCAAGGCUUUGACGGGUAGCCGGCCUGAGAGGGUGACCGGCCGACGGAGGGCGGGGGGGCGGCCGCGUAGCGAUGGGGGAGGCGGGGGAGGGAAAUACGGCGCCGUGGGGGGCAGCCUGACGCAGAAACGGGGGGUGGGGGAGGACGCCCGCCGGUUGGACACCGGCUUGCGCCGGGGACGGGGAGGGAGGGAGGGUAGGGGGAAAAGAAGGACCGGUACAUGACGGGCCAGCAGCGGCGGUAAUAAGCGGAGGAGCACACGUCCGAAC
rnacentral:rRNA from 1 species